rnacentral:rRNA from 1 species
UAGGGAAUUUUCCACAAUGGACGAAAGUCUGAUGGAGCAACACCGCGUGCAGGAUGAAAGCCCUUGGGUUGUAAACUGCUUUUAUGGGUGAAGAUUAUGACGGUAACCCAUGAAUAAGGAUCGGCUAACUCCGUGCCAGCAGCCGCGGUCAUACGGAGGAUCCAAGCGUUAUCCGGAAUUACUGGGCGUAAAGAGUUGCGUAGGCGGCAUAGUAAGCAGGUAGUGAAAUGACGGGGCUCAACCCCGUGUCCAUUAUCUGAACUGCUAAGCUAGAGUAUGAGAGAGGUACCUGGAAUUUCCUGUGUAGGAGUGAAAUCCGUAGAUAUAGGAAGGAACACCGAUGGCGUAGGCAGGGUACUGGCUCAUUACUGACGCUCAGGCACGAAAGCGUGGGGAGCGACCGGGAUUAGAUACCCCCGUAGUCC